rnacentral:rRNA from 2 species
AAACGCCCGGUCCCAUUCCGAACCCGGAAGCUAAGCCCUCCAGCGCCGAUGGUACUGCACUCGACAGGGUGUGGGAGAGUAGGACACCGCCGAAC